rnacentral:sRNA from 1 species
CACACAGAAGCAGUGUGCUGUAAGGAAGAUUAUGGAGAUCAGAGGGGCUAGUUUCUCAUACCUCCAGGGCCUUCGUGAAGUAACUACUCCACAACGGUGGCUGCUGCUGUUACGGAAGACCUGUGCUCCUGCUAACUAUAAGAAGCAUACAGACAGUAGAACUGUGUAUAAGUCUGGGCCUGCAAAAACUCCCCUUUUUACAGCAAAACGAGCUCCCCUUCAAAGUGGCAUGCUAUAUGGAAAGAGAAGUAGCCUGGAGUUCAGGGUCUCAGGUCCUCUUCUUAAUCUCUUCUUAACCUCCCCCUUCCUUCUUCUUUCUUCUUCUAUCAAAGAAAUACAGAAUCCAGAAACAAGUUUAUUAAAACAUGGAGGGAUGGAGGGUCACGAAAAUGAUUUUAUUUCUGCUUCAAGUUCCACAUUCUAUUUUUUUCCAUCAUGCUUUCUGGCUUGGCUUUGCUGAUUUGACAGGGUAGACAUACACACAGAGGAGUGUGAAUGAGAGGUUUUGAAUGGCUUUACAAUACCCACCCCUUUAAAGUCAGUUUUAAAAUCUGUCCAGGGCUACAAUUUUCUGGACCACUUCAAUUGUCCUUUAAACCUUGGGAUCUGGGAAGUUCUCAUUUCCUUGAGUCACCGUGGUAUGCCCAGGAGUACAUACAUGAGGGGAGACCCCCAUGUCCACAGUUUAUGGAGCUGUGAAGGGUGCCACCUGACAGUGCACAUCAACCUUGAAUAUUAAGGUGCUGUGGAGGAGUCAGCAACCCAGGGUAGGCCUCCCAUAUCAGCUCUGGUCAGAGAAGCCCUCCUUUACUCCACAUUCAUCAUAGGCAUCUGUUCAGCUGGCCCAGGGGGCUGCCCUCAGAAUAUUGCCUUCCUUAGUGGGGCCCAUGGAGUCUGCCUGGCUCCCUGCAACUUGGAACUCCUGGUUUCCACUCUUUAGUCUCUUGUCUUGACUCUUGUCCCAUCUCUGAACACUGGUAAUCCUGAAGUCUGGUGAGCAUACCCUUCCCAUCCUGAGGUUUGUCACCGCUAAGUGUCCAGAUCUUGGUAAUUCCUUUACGAUGUGCUGUGUCCUUUUCACCAUGACUGCACAUAUUCCUGAACCAUUGUCCCACCUUCAGGCAUCUGCUUGGGUUUCUUGGUGCUUUGUGACACUUGGUAUUUUGUGCUAGGCAAAGCAAGCCACACUUUCCCCUGGUGUUAGAUGUUUGUGCGUUCGUAUCAGGUCUUUACUUACUAAUCUUUCCCUGGAAGGCACGAACAUUAUUGACCUCCAUUCAUCAAGUUUGAUCACGAGUGGUUAAUAUGUAAUGUUUACCAAAUCAGUGCACAGAGUUACUAAUGCCGGUUGUGAGCUGUCUUAGAGAGCGUCACAAGUGGUUCCGUGUAUAGUAUUCAAAUUUAAUCUUGGGAGAAUUCCAUUCUAAAAAUGAGGAAAGCAUACGGUGGCUAUUUAGUGUGUGCGCACCCUUGGAUAGGCAUUAUUCUAGGAAAUCCCUAAAUAUGCUCAGUCUUCAUUCCACCGAGCACUUUUCUGUGUGCCAGGCAUAUCUUUGAGUCCUUUACAUUUAAACUCAUUUUACCCGCACAAUUAUGAAGCAUGCACUAUUGUUACCCUCUUGUAUUUGAUGAAAUUAAAAUUUAUGGAACUUAAAAAAAUGUAUCCAAGGCAAAAAAUAGAAUUGAGAUUCCCAAUUAGGUAGUCUGAUUAAAGAGCCUUCCAUUCCGUUCUGGGCACUGUGCUCCUGCCUCAGUCAGCCCCGCAGCACCGUCUCUAUAAGCUGUGGUUAUGUCCAUUUUUACAGAGGACAAAGCAGACAUCCACACAGAUUAAAUACCUGCACUGCAGUCUGGAGCCAAGCUGGGCUGGUGAGUGAAUGCUCAUGCUCUGAACAUUCAUUUGUUUUAGGAGACUUCUGACAACAAUUUCCCCCCUUAGGUACAUAUGAUAGUGCACAGCCACGAGGGCUUUACUAUGCUUGAAGGGUUGGACUGAACACAGUGUCUGCUAAGUAGGGUGGAUAAUUAGAAACCCUAAGAUUCAGAACUUCCUUUCAAGAGGCAAGGGAAAAGCUAUUAAAGUAAUCUCUACCCGUAUCUGUUUCUUCCAGCAUGGUCUUCAAUGCUGGUUCUUUACCCAUUGGCCUAGAUAGAGACCCUGGAAUGGGGAAGAUUUUCCAGUUCAAAACGGUCAGCAAAGGUGGGGUGAAACUUGUAGGUCUAGGUGAUGAGAUGGGCAGGCUUUCUCUUUAGAGCCAGAUGCACUGGCUGGCUUUAGAGACGUUGGUUUAGAGAAAACAACAGCUCUCAAAGCAGGGACAAAACCAGGAUGGUGAUGUGGGGGCCAGAGAGCAAACAAUCAGCGGGCUUACAGCAGGCUUUCUCUGGGACUGAGUGGGCUUGUGGUUUGACCUAAGAAAAAAGUGUGCUGACCUCAACUCAGGAUCCAGACAGCCCCCGCUUUGGAUUCUCUCCAUACACACUCAUCAUCAGAUGACCAUGAGCCAGUCAUUUCCUCCCUCCGAGACUCCGUUUCUUCAAGGAGUCCAUCAAAUGGGCGCAAGACCCCAUUGUGCGUAUGCAGACUGUAGGUCAUGAAGAGUAUUGGCUAGCUGAGUGUAAACUGGAGGUAGGUGGAAGAUGCUGACAGGAAAGAAAGCUUUGCCCCCACUGGAGUUCCUCAUAUGACAUUGUGCUGACAGAGCCAUAUCAGAUUGACUCAUACAGAACACACGGGGAAAUGGGCAGUUUGCGGCAUGGCCAGCUCCUAGGCCUGGAACUGGCUUCAGCUGGUUUACUGGUGGGGCGCAGGGAUGGGAAGUGCAACAGGUCAUCCUACUGAUUGCUGUAUGACCUUGAGAUCUGCAGCCGACGUGUACUGAACCCUUAUGGGUAGGAGUCAAGUUCUGAAGUGUCUCCUGGUCCCUGCAUUCUGCUCUUAGAAAUGUCAACACUACUGCCAACUGACUGUUGACGUUCAGUCCUUCUAUCUUGGAGACUACAAACAAGCUAAGAAAUGCUGCUGAGAUUUUCAUGGCCGUACCCAAAUCUGCUCCAAGAGCGCCCUCUGCUGGAUGACAUCAGGACCCCGACCUCCUCAGCCAUCUUGGAAGUAGAGCCAACUGGAGUUCUGGGAGGAUAAAAAGGAAGGAAUUUCUAGUGUCCUGUUCCCCAAUGGAAAGCAGUAUGAGGCGGCUUGGUGUGGAGAAUCGUGCCCUUGCUUGUUCAGUAAUCAGACUACAUGGACUCUGGAAGUGCCUGAUGGGCAAACUGUUCUCUUACACAACAUCGUUGAUGCUGCACCACUAAAAAGACUUGCAUAUUAAAACGCGAAGCAUGUGAGCUUCUUCAGAGUGAACAGAAAACCAAGAGUCAAUAUAUAUCUUAUCAGAUCCAAAGUAGCAACUUGACCAAGAUGCUGUGAAAUGAACAUGAAUUCUUCACAUGCAGAGUUGAAGGAGAGUUUAUUCCUAUUUCCUAUGGGAUUACCGCUUGGAAAAAAAUCUCUCUGCCAUUUCCCAUCGAAUCCACCUCCACCCUCCCUCUUUUCUUCCCCCCUCUCCUUCCCCUCUGCCCUCUCUUUCUCCCACCUUCCUUCUCUCAUUUCCUCCUCGUUCACACCUUCUCUUUUAAUCAAGUAUUUAUCUGUCUGCUGCAGAAGACAAUGAGGCCUGUAUGCACGAUUAUUGUCUAAUGCAGAGAAGGAAAAUGAACCAGUCUCUUGUCUUUUAUUGCACCAAAUAGCUGAGAUAUAGCAACUUAAAAAGAGGAAAACAUGGAUUUUGUUUCACAGAUUCAGAGUUUUAGUCCAGAGCCAGUAAUCGGUUUCCUUUGGGGACUGUGACAGAAUGUUAUAUUAUGGUAGGAAUACAGAGCUGAGAAACUGUUCACCUUCUGGUGGCUGGGAAGCAGAGAGCAAGUGUAGACUACCAUCUCGCAAAAUCUAUCUUCAUCCUCUAAGAAGAAUUCCUCAGGAGGCCUCUUAAAGUUUGCACUAUCUUGUAAUAGUACUAAGUUGAGGACCAAACCUUUACUAUAUAUGCUUUAGGGAGGACAUUCUAAAUCUAAAUUAUAGCAGAGAGUAAAAAUCACUGGAAUGCAACAUGCUUCCUGUUACUCUAGAGGCAUGCAGUAAAGACCUAAGGGAGCAACACAGAGGGAGGAACAAGUGAUGAAACCCGUAGUCAGUAAACACACCAGCAAAUACCAAGUAGGAGUUUGCAAGGGAGAACAAUGGUAAGCAUGGAAUUCUGGGUCUAGAAUAUGCAGCAGCUCAGUCAUCGAGCACCAGCUACUACUCAGGAUAAGACAGCAAGGAUGAAGUUUACACUACACAGUGGUGUACACCCAGCUGCGUAUCUGAAAGCAUACCUUGUAGGUGAGAGUUGGGAUUAGUAGCUCGUACGAUUACGGUGUCCAGGGGUUUGCCCUGAUGCGCCUAAGUGCUAUCUAUUCAAAUCUCAGAGGGGUUGGCCUUCCAGCCCCAGCCCCUCAUCACAUGACCACGGGUUGCAGGUUGUACUGGGUUUCUGCUGCGCUGACCCAGAAAUAAUAUAUCCAGAUUUUGAGGUCAAUUCAUAAGAUCACACCACAUUUCAACCUGGGGAUACCAAAAAAAAGGCACUAACAGCCCUUGGAUGGAACUUAGAAAGGAACAGGCCUUAAAUCAGUGGCUGAGUUUUCAAGGCUUUAUACACAAUCUAGCCAUUUGUAUUCUGCUUACUCUUUGUGACCACUGAGACAUACGUGUCAGCUGUAAUCAUUUUUGUCCUUUCCCAAAUGACAAUUACAAUGAAAGUCAUUGCCCGCCUGGAGUUGCUCCUGACUAGAUGGUUGGUGUACCUUCUGGUGAAGCAAAAUAAAAAGAAGGCUAGCGGUUGAAGUGAAGAGGCACACGCUACUUACCUCAGCUCACCAGGAUUGGGCAUCACAGAUUUUAAGCUAGCCUGAAUGCAUGGUAACUUCUGGCAUAGCCUGGGUUACAUAGAAUGACCCUGCCCCAAAAUGCCACCAAUUUCAGGAGCAGUGCUUGUCUCAUAUGAACAAGGCCC